UACUAUACAAAAGAGUUUAAUUUUGAAAGUCUCAGAGUCACAAGCGAACAUGAUUUCAAGUUCAAUUACAGGCUCAUAGUGAGUCUGAAAGAAUAGGGUCCCAAAGUGAAACCCUAGUGCCAUUCGUAAAAAAAGAUCCCCAAAUCAUAGGGUUUCAAAUAGAAUAAUGAGAAAACAAUGUCAUUGAGAGAGGCUCACAAGCCCCUUUCUAAGGCUUGUGAGAGGCAAACAUACGCAAACAAUUUCAGAAGAAAGAAAGGAUAUGAGUUUUAAACAAAGUAGGUAAAAACAUACUUAACAGGAACAUAAACAGAACUCAGUAAGGCGAAACAAAAUCAAAGAGCUCAAACUUAAACACAUAUAGAAAAGAAUGAAGAUUAACAAUACGAAUUAACAUGUGAGCAUGAGAGUGACAGCAAGGAACAGAAAAGUCUUGCACGACAGAAAGGAAACAAAAGAGAAAAUUCAAGCACAGUAAGCAGCAAACAUACAAGCAUAAAACACACAUAAAGAAGGAACAGGAAGAAUCAAAAUAUUUGAGGAAAUCCUUUUUUCAGAAAAUCCUAAAAUUGAAAUUGCACGAUUUUAAAGAGGAAAUUUAGGGAAAACCUUUGAAACGUCAAGUAAAGACCAGACUGUCACAGAUCUAAAAGGAAUAAGAAAAUACAGAACCUUAGACGGCUUAGAAUCAGUAGAGAAAACCCUAAAAUGAGAAAGGUCUUGAGGAAAGUUGAAUCCUGAGUCAAAGAGACUCAUAUUGCUCGAACACGCCAGAAAAUGGUCGGAGAGGCCAUAGAUCUACAGAUCUGAGACAGAUCUAAAGAGAUCCAUUGAAUAGGGUCUCCAAACUUCGAGUAGCUUAGGUUUAACGAUGAGAGAGAGUGAGCACAUGCCACCCAUGGCUUGGAAUGCCAUGAACUCUAGUGGGAUUGUGGUAGAAACAAGUGGGAAUCGAUUAGUGUUUCGGAGUAGGCUAGAGAGAGUUUGAGAGAUGAGGAGAAUAGAGGCAAUGC
rnacentral:lncRNA from 1 species